rnacentral:rRNA from 1 species
GACGAACGCUGGCGGCGUGCCUAAUACAUGCAAGUUGAGCGCUGAAGGUUGGUACUUGUACCGACUGGAUGAGCAGCGAACGGGUGAGUAACGCGUGGGGAAUCUGCCUUUGAGCGGGGGACAACAUUUGGAAACGAAUGCUAAUACCGCAUAAAAACUUUAAACACAAGUUUUAAGUUUGAAAGAUGCAAUUGCAUCACUCAAAGAUGAUCCCGCGUUGUAUUAGCUAGUUGGUGAGGUAAAGGCUCACCAAGGCGAUGAUACAUAGCCGACCUGAGAGGGUGAUCGGCCACAUUGGGACUGAGACACGGCCCAAACUCCUACGGGAGGCGGCAGUAGGGAAUCUUCGGCAAUGGACGAAAGUCUGACCGAGCAACGCCGCGUGAGUGAAGAAGGUUUUCGGAUCGUAAAACUCUGUUGGUAGAGAAGAACGUUGGUGAGAGUGGAAAGCUCAUCAAGUGACGGUAACUACCCAGAAAGGGACGGCUAACUACGUG